GACGUAGGGCGCGAGCGUUGUCCGGAUUUAUUGGGCGUAAAGAGCUCGUAGGCGGCUUGUUGCGUCAGCUGUGAAAACCCGCAGCUCAACUGUGGGCUUGCAGCUGAUACGGGCAGGCUUGAGUUCGGUAGGGGAGACUGGAAUUCCUGGUGUAGCGGUGAAAUGCGCAGAUAUCAGGAGGAACACCGGUGGCGAAGGCGGCAUCCUGGACCGACACUGACACUGAGGAGCGAAAGCCAGGGGAGCAAACGGG
rnacentral:rRNA from 1 species